GACGAACGCUGGCGGCGUGCUUAACACAUGCAAGUCGAACGACGUGGCGAACGGGUGAGUAACGCGUAAUCCACCUGCCCUUCAGAGGGGGACAACAGGUGGAAACGACUGCUAAUACAGCAUACUGAAGGAGGGGAUUGCGUCUGAUUAGCUAGUUGGCGGGGUAACGGCCCACCAAGGCGAUGAUCAGUAGCCGGUCUGAGAGGAUGAACGGCCACAUUGGGACGGAGACACGGCCCAGACUCCUACGGGAGGCAGUAGUGGGGAAUCGGCCGCAAUGGACGAAAGUCUGACGGAGCAACGCCGCGUGAGUGAUGACGGCCUUCGGGUUGUAAAGCUCUGUUAAUCGGGACGCGGUACCGGAAUAGAAAGCCACGGCUAACUACGUGCCAGCAGCCGCGGUAAUAC
rnacentral:rRNA from 1 species